GCUAUCCAGAAGGCAGGUGACCCCCCUCAUCCCCCUGGCAUUGGUGGUUUCUCUUUUGUUUCUAUAUAUAGUAAUAACCUUUACAGAAAAAAUACUUUACAACUUUUUUUUUUUUUUUGCUUUUCCUUUUGAAACAUUAUCUGAACAUUCUGUCCCCACAUUUACACAGCUGAGCUGCUUGUUUAUAAAUCAGACCUGAUCUGCAUCAGUUCCUUAGGGAAAUAAUUAAAAAAAAAAAAAAAAAAAAAAAAAAAAAAAACCAAAAUUUCCGAGGCCUUUAUCUGUUCAGGGUGAAAACAAAUUAUGGGGAUCCCUUGGAGCUGAAGUGCUCAUGGAGUUGGGGGGGGAGGGGGCGCCUGCAUGAUGUUAGAAAAAAAUAAUUAGGAUUUUUUUUUUAAAAAAGGGACAAACUUCAGACACAAGGAACCUUUUGCUAGGCUGGUAUACUUACAAUCUGGCAUUGAAAUAACUUAUCAGAAUUAAUUCGUACAGCUAGUCCUUCUGGAGCCCAGGUGUAGGUAGACAAGCCCUCUCUCUCAGACUCAGGUGAGGAUUUGGGGUCAAACAGCUACUGUCUCACCUGUCAGAGACUGGGACAGUAUCCUGUAGUGUGUUCCCAGACUAGGCUAGGAAAAGAGAGCAGGGAGGAGCUUGUAACCAGGGGAAAGCCCAAGCUUCUGGAGGUGGCAGGUCUCAACACAGUAUAGUUGCAUUUGCUUAUGCAGUAUCCAAGCUAUUGGCAAAAUUUAUCAGCAUGGACCCAGAAAUGCAUUAAUUCUUAGGUGGACUACAUCCUGGCCUCAGCUAGCAUCUCCGCCCAUCUUUGAGUGCUCUGUGCUGUGUAGGCUGCAGCAGCCUCGUGUUUUGUAGCUGCAAAAACCAUGACUGGGCCAAUAGCUACACGGGUGCUGCAGAACAGUGUUGUCCCCCCUCCCCGCCCCAGUGCUGAGCAAAAGAGACCCCCGGUCUGAGCAGGACAUCCCACAGUGGGAUCCUGAAUGUUUGCCUGCCUUCUCUUCCCUCUUCAGCGGUGCCUUCACCCUCUCCCAGAAGUCACCAGAGAUCUGUAUCAGUCCAUGCAGAAAGAGAGACUUGCCCAUCCCCAGUGAAAGGCUGGGGACAGGGGCUUGGGGACUGGGGACAUACCUGUCAUUGUACGACUGCUUGGGUCAGAGAGCAAGUAGUAUUUUCACGGCUGCUUUUAUGGCUAAGAGCGUCUUCUGUGAGCUCAGUGC